UACAGAGACCUCAAGCGUUAUCCGGAAUCAUUGGGCGUAAAGCGUACCGAUAGGUGGUUGUAUUAGUCUUGGGUGAAAGACCGAAGCUUAACUUCGGGGUUUGCUUAAGAUACUGUACAGCUAGAGGGGCAAAGAGGAGACUGGAACGAACGGUGUAGUAGUGAAAUGCGUUGAUAUCGUUCGGAACACCGAAAGCGAAGGCAGGUCUCUGGGUGCCACCUGACACUGCUAGGACGAAAGCGUGGGUAGCGAAUGGG
rnacentral:rRNA from 1 species